GCGAAAAGAACCCCUGUGAGGGGAGUGAAAUAGAUCCUGAAACCGCAUGCAUACAAGCAGUGGGAGCACCUUCGUGGUGUGACUGCGUACCUUUUGUAUAAUGGGUCAGCGACUUAUAUUCAGUAGCGAGGUUAACCGUAUAGGGGAGCCGUAGAGAAAUCGAGUCUUAAUAGGGCGUUUAGUUGCUGGGUAUAGACCCGAAACCAGGCGAUCUAUCCAUGAGCAGGUUGAAGGUUGGGUAACACUAACUGGAGG
rnacentral:rRNA from 1 species